UACGUAGGGUGCAAACGUUGUUCGGAAUCACUGGGCAUAAAGAGCGCGUAGGCGGUCUGACAAGUCCCCUGUGAAAGCCCCCGGCUUAACCGGGGAACUGCAUGGGAUACUGGAUGGCUUGAAUUCGGGAGAGGGAUGCAGAAUUCCAGGUGUAGCGGUGAAAUGCGUAGAUAUCUGGAGGAAUACCGGUGGCGAAGGCGGCAUCCUGGACCGGCAUUGACGCUGAGGCGCGAAAGCCAGGGGAGCAAACGGG
rnacentral:rRNA from 1 species